rnacentral:rRNA from 1 species
CUGUGUGAAGAAGGCCUUAUGGUUGUAAAGCACUUUAAGCGAGGAGGAGGCUACUUAGAUAAUACCUAGAGAUAGUGGACGUUACUCGCAGAAUAAGCACCGGCUAACUCUGUGCCAGCAGCCGCGGUAAUACAGAGGGUGCAAGCGUUAAUCGGAUUUACUGGGCGUAAAGCGCGCGUAGGCGGCUAAUUAAGUCAAAUGUGAAAUCCCCGAGCUUAACUUGGGAAUUGCAUUCGAUACUGGUUAGCUAGAGUGUGGGAGAGGAUGGUAGAAUUCCAGGUGUAGCGGUGAAAUGCGUAGAGAUCUGGAGGAAUACCGAUGGCGAAGGCAGCCAUCUGGCCUAACACUGACGCUGAGGUGCGAAAGCAUGGGGAGCAAACAGGAUUAGAUACCCUGGUAGUCCAUGCCGUAAACGAUGUCUACUAGCCGUUGGGGCCUUUGAGGCUUUAGUGGCGCAGCUAACGCGAUAAGUAGACCGCCUGGGGAGUACGGUCGCAAGACUAAAACUCAAAUGAAUUGACGGGGGCCCGCACAAGCGGUGGAGCAUGUGGUUUAAUUCGAUGCAACGCGAAGAACCUUACCUGGCCUUGACAUAGUAAGAACUUUCCAGAGAUGGAUUGGUGCUUCGGGAACUUACUCCGGGUGUGCAUGGUGUCGCAGCUCGUGUCGGAGAGUGGGUUAGUC